GACGAACGCUGGCGGCGUGCUUAACACAUGCAAGUCGAACGGAAAGGCCCUGCUUGCAGGGUACUCGAGUGGCGAACGGGUGAGUAACACGUGGGUGAUCUGCCCUGCACUUCGGGAUAAGCCUGGGAAACUGGGUCUAAUACCGGAUAGGAGCCAUUUUUAGUGUGAUGGUUGGAAAGUUUUUUCGGUGUAGGAUGAGCUCGCGGCCUAUCAGCUUGUUGGUGGGGUAAUGGCCUACCACGGCGGCGACGGGUAGCCGGCCUGAGGGGGUGGACGGCCACAUUGGGACUGAGAUACGGCCCAGACUCCGACGGGAGGCAGCAGUGGGGAAUAUUGCACAAUGGGCGCAAGCCUGAUGCAGCGACGCCGCGUGGGGGAUGACGGCCUUCGGGUUGUAAACUCCUUUCGCUAGGGACGAAGCUUUUUGUGACGGUACCUAGAUAAGAAGCACCGGCUAACUACGUG
rnacentral:rRNA from 1 species